GAUCAUGGCUCAGGAUGAACGCUGGCGGCGUGCUUAACACAUGCAAGUCGAACGAAGUUAAGUGAAACCUAGUGAUCUAACUAGUGGCGGACGGGUGAGUAACGCGUGGGUAACCUGCCGCAUGCAGGGGGACAACAGUUGGAAACGACUGCUAAUACCGCAUAAGCGCACGGGACCGCAUGGUCCAGUGUGAAAAGAUUUAUCGGCAUGCGAUGGACCCGCGUCCGAUUAGCCAGUUGGCGGGGUAACGGCCCACCAAAGCGACGAUCGGUAGCCGGCCUGAGAGGGUGAACGGCCACAUUGGGACUGAGACACGGCCCAAACUCCUACGGGAGGCAGCAGUGGGGAAUAUUGCACAAUGGGGGAAACCCUGAUGCAGCGACGCCGCGUGAGUGAUGAAGUAUUUCGGUACGUAAAGCUCUAUCAGCAGGAAAGAAAAUGACGGUACCUGACUAAGAAGCCCCGGCUAACUACGUGCCAGCCGCAGC
rnacentral:rRNA from 1 species